UUUAAUUCAACAAAACAAAAAUGAGGGCAAACUCGAUCAAUCGAUCGAAGAAGUAACUUCUUUACCUAUCCAGCUCACGACGCUUCUCUUAUAUGUUGGAGGAGUGACGUAAGGAGGGGUCAAAGUUUCUUGAAAUUGACAUGUUCAAGGAGGUGUACGUUCGGCCUGGGGAUGAGUUGACGAAGCAGCUUCAUUCCACCAUGGUGUAAAAGGGCCAGACCGUUAUGGAGAAAGUGGCUUCCGAGCUUCCCCUAUAGACCUCAAUUGAGGAGGUGUUUCCCCUUGAGGAUUGGUAGGGAUUUUACUAUUCAUGUGAACGGGCUAAAAACUCCUAUAAUACUUGCAAGAAUCACAAGGUUAUUGUAGUAUAAACGGAUCUCGCAAGGUCGUUCUCCACAGGGAUU